ensembl:lncRNA
CAUUCCUAUUCUUUUUUUGACUAUUUUCAGUUUUUUUAAAUGCAAGAAUUACAUUCAUUAAAAUAUUUUCUGCUGUUUUUGCAGAAAAUGUGCACUGUUAUAAGACUGAAUGAAUUGAAGGGGAUAAAUGAGUGGGAGAGAGAGAGACAAUUAACAGGCAUCCACACAGAAGAAGGGAGGAGAUUCUAAGAGAACGACGCAGAAAGUAAAUAGAGUUGAAAAGUUGCCUUGAAAAAUGCAGCCAUUAUAUACUUCUUAUAUAAAAACUCAUUCACAUAGCUUAAUGACUAUAGUUUGAGGAUCAAUCAUAUCUAGCUGUGCCGCACAGUGGGGAGGUUCUAGAAGAGCUUCGGUAACAUACUGAGAGACUAAAUGAUUACUCACUGUUGAAAGUACUAGGCACAGCUUACACUUGGUUCACUUGUCUAGCCUUAUUUAAAUUAAGCUUUAAUAACAUCAGUGGAUAACAAGCUAAUCAUUUAUAAUGGGUUAUGAUUGUUCUUUUAUAAUACAUGCAUAAUUGAAUGCUUAUAAUUGUAGGGUUAUCACAUUGGAACACAUAAGUAUGUUAUAGUCAUUAACUGAAAAUGUUGCCAAAUGUGGACAUUUGAUUUGUUGUGACUAUUGAUUGUAAUGAAUGGUCCAUGAGUUUGAACAAGGACCAUGGAAAGAAGUUUGGUUGAUAACUUUCUUUCUUCUUAGUUACAUAAAAAUACUUCUCACUUUCGUUUUAAUGCAAUAAGUAUAAUAAUCAUUUAGUGGGACAUAAUGUCCUAUGGCGUGACACACAUAAAAGUACAAACAAAUGUUUUACCUUAAAGUACCUUAACAAACAGUUGGGUAUUACAUUAGGGGAGAUAUAAUCAUCACUCAUCUUAAAUUGGUAUAAGUUUCAACAGUUUUGAAAGGAUAGCAAAGUGAAUUUGAUCUUUCCUAGGAUUCAUUGGAUGAAACCGAUUCCAACCGGAAAGAAAGCCACUGGUGAACGUGCACGAGAGACAUAAGAUGAGGUGGACAGACUCUGGGUCAAACACAGGGAGAAAGAGAUCGUUAGAUGUCCAGCCAUGUGUCCUUCUGAAGAAAGACAAGAAGGGCACGUUUUUAUCUACAAAAGUGUUAAUGGUUGAAUAAAUGUUUCAGCAAAUAGUUGACCAUUCUAAUGGAAUAGUUUAUAUUGGCUGUAGGCUCUGUAGAUUAUUCUCCUGAGGUAUCCUUAAUGUAUGAGGCUGAGCAUUUACAUCUGAUGUGUAUUAAUAAAUGCAGAAUGUUCUAGAUCAGUCCUCAUUUAUCUCAUUAGUGUAUUACUGAGCAGACUGGUGCAGUGGAUGAUGGGGAGGACCACAUGAGUACUAGCCACCAUACUGCACCGUGAACCAGAGGAGGAUUAGCCACCAUACUGCACCGUGAACCAGAGGAGGAUUAGCCACCAUACUGCACCGUGAACCAGAGGAGGAUUAGCCACCAUACUGCACAGUGAACCAGAGGAGGAUUAGCCACCAUACUGCACAGUGAGGCCAGACUGCCAGAAGAUGGGGCCCAAUGUGGACAUCAUUCACUAACGCCUCAAGAAAGCACAGAAAUACUGAAGACACUAUAUUCAACAACAGACCACUGCAGAGGUCUGACAAGAACUCCCCUGCUUCUCUGUUCCAGUCUUGUCGGACAAGCGUGUUCAAGGCCCAUGUUUCCACAAUGUGACGCACACUAGCCACUAAGCAACCUCAGGACCUGUGGCUCUUCACUGUGGGACUUUAAAUGUCAUUAAGCCAUGAUAAAACCUCAUUACAUGAAUGCGGACAUACUCCUCCUUUUUCAAGGAACCCUUAAGCCCGACACCCACAAUCUUCUCAAGCAGCAGUGAUGACAAGCCCCUGGGUGACGAGACGGAUGACGCUGUCACAAUGGAGAGACACAAAGAUGGUGGACUAUGGAGAGGUACUCUUGUCUUUGGCCAAUGAUGGUGGACUAUGGAGAGGUACUCUUCUCUUUGGCCAAUGAUGGUGGACUAUGGAGAGGUACUCUUGUCUUUGGCCAAUGAUGGUGGACUAUGGGGAGGUACUCUUGUCUUUGGCCAAUGAUGGUGGACUAUGGAGAGGUACUCUUGUCUUUGGCCAAUGAUGGUGGACUAUGGAGAGGUACUCUUGUCUUUGGCCAAUGAUGGUGGACUAUGGAGAGGUACUCUUGUCUUUGGCCAAUGAUGGUGGACUAUGGAGAGGUACUCUUGUCUUUGGCCAUGGGUGUUGUGCUGGCCCUCUAUCAUGUCUACAACAUUGCAUCUCCCUGUCGGCUAAAGGAAACAUUUUCAUUUUUGUAGGCGUUUAUCUUGAACCUUGAUACUCUAACAACACGUGUACCUGUAGCUGUGCAGAAAGUUAAAAAUGCCCUGAAUAUUUCAUAAAAAUCAAUUUUGUAUGGUAUUAGGGGUUUAUGUACUCCUAAAAUAACUAAUAAUCUGUAAAAGUAUAAUUUUCACCUGGACAUGAUUUUUUAUCUCUACAAUUCCAUUCAUAUGCAAAAUAAAUGAAUUGAGAAUGAAACUGCUAUAUUCUUCCUUCCUUCCUUCAUCAGCCCUAACCUAGAACUCAAAAGCAUAGGGGUUUGCAUGCUUGUGCAAAUAGUAGCAGUAGAUUAUUUCUUUAUUUUUACCGUUGGCAGACAAAUCAUUUAUUUAGCCUUUGAAAAUAUAAAUUUAAAGCUUUAAUGUUAAAAAAUAGUGAUUGGGAAAUGAUGUGUAAGUAUCUUUUGUAAAUGUGAAAAUGGUGAUGAUUUCUUGGGGGGGUUGAAUACUUUUGCAAACCACUGGAUCUCCUGCAGAGGAGGUACCCCUGACUGGUGUGGCUUUAGCUUCUCCUUCACAAGCUGAAGUAAGAAAGAGUGGAAGAAGCAGCUACUCCUGUCCAUUCUAAGCCCUCUAACAUCAAAACACAUCAAAAUGCACAGAAGACACAGGAACUAUGCACCGUCAUAAAUGAGUCAUUGCGGUAGGUCUGUAACAACAACAU